rnacentral:rRNA from 1 species
AUGAACGCUGGCGGCGUGCCUAAUACAUGCAAGUCGAGCGAACGGACGAGAAGCUUGCUUCUCUGAUGUUAGCGGCGGACGGGUGAGUAACACGUGGAUAACCUACCUAUAAGACUGGGAUAACUUCGGGAAACCGUAGCUAAUACCGGAUAAUAUUUUGAACCGCAUGGUUCAAAAGUGAAAGACGGUCUUGCUGUCACUUAUAGAUGGAUCCGCGCUGCAUUAGCUAGUUGGUAAGGUAACGGCUUACCAAGGCAACGAUGCAUAGCCGACCUGAGAGGGUGAUCGGCCACACUGGAACUGAGACACGGUCCAGACUCCUACGGGAGGCAGCAGUAGGGAAUCUUCCGCAAUGGGCGAAAGCCUGACGGAGCAACGCCGCGUGAGUGAUGAAGGUCUUCGGAUCGUAAAACUCUGUUAUUAGGGAAGAACAUAUGUGUAAGUAACUGUGCACAUCUUGACGGUACCUAAUCAGAAAGCCACGGCCAACUACGUG